rnacentral:rRNA from 1 species
AGCCCAACAGCUAGCCUCU